AAAAUUAUUAAAAAAUUGACGCAGGCCUGCGAUGGUUCUAGUGUCUUGAUAUUUUUACAUGUUCUACAGUAAUUCCUGUAUGCUGAAUCCGAAAAUGAUAAUUAUUUUUCUCCAU